rnacentral:rRNA from 1 species
UACAGAGGAGCCAAGCGUUGUCCGGAUUGACUGGGCGUAAAGCGCACGCAGGCGGUCGCGCGCGUGGGGUGUGAAAUCUGGCCGCUUAACGGCCAGGCGCCAUCCCAUACGGCGCGACUGGAGUGAUGCAGAGGUCGAUGGAAUUGCCGGUGUAGUGGUGAAAUGCGUAGAGAUCGGCAGGAACACCCAGGGGGGAAACCAGUCGACUGGGCAUCUACUGACGCUGAGGUGCGAGAGCGUGGGGAGCAAACAGG